GGCGAAUCGUGUAGGUGGGAACAGAAAAUUACUUAAUACAAUAACAAAAUUCACCCUAAUUUAGGAAAUCACCGGUGUUUAGAAAUCUUUAUCCACGAAUGGAGGAUGUGUAUUUUCACAGUAUAUGAUCCGUGUGUGACCGUUGGACCGAGCGAAGCAUGGAAUGGUCAUUGGCGUGUCCCAAGUGAUAAAUUCAAAAUGAUAUAAAGUAAUCGUGUCACCAUGAUUCCUAGCAUAUAGAUGGGUGCAAAUACGAAACUAAGACACGUGGUCAGUUGCUGAAGAAAUUCCGGUGAAAACAUGCAGGGUCUAGCAAAAGGUCUGUAGCUGUGAGGGAAGGUGGAUGGCCCCAUAUGAGAGGUUAGAUGGAUCGAUGCCAUUGAGACUACUCUCUUGAAAUAUUCCCGGACACCUUGGUACCCAGGCCAUGACAUACAGUUCCUGUAAGUGCUGACAUACCGUCAAAACAGUGACUUGUGUAACACCGAAUGGUGCAAUCACUUAUUUUUCAACUUUGAAUAUUGGGAUCAACAUGUACUCCACAGAAAAGUUCCAGCAAAACCCAAAGCUGGAAAACCAUCUGUGAUCAAUUAAAACAAUGUGUGUCCUUGAACAUUCUGGCUUUUUAUCCUUGAGAGGACAGUUGGCUUAUAAAAAAAGUUGAAUUGUGUUACAUAUUAGCCAGGGGAGUAUUUACGUCUAGAGGGCUAACGAAAGGAUAAAAUCCAUAUCCCAGCAGUCUACGAGCCAAUAUUAACCAAGAUAAAUAUGUGCAUGGGAUGCAUUAAACAGUAUAUUAAAUUCUCAUAAUUGUUUAUUCAACCGUAAUAUUUUUAAAACAUUUUUUGGAGUGCCUGUUAAGUACAAUGCUCUACAUGUUCACAUCUUCAGGAAUUAAGCAGUCGUUUUCUGUUUGUUUGUUUUUUUUAAAUUUUAAUAUCGUUUUCUUCAUUUAUUAUUAUUAUUUGCAAAUCCUGUAUGAUUAAAAUAAAACUCGUGUGUUAAAUAGUUUAGUAUAAAUAAAAAGUGCACUAUUGAU